rnacentral:piRNA from 1 species
GAACAGAACCAUGACAGCGAGGAAGACAU